UUUGGAAGAAGUAUAGAUAUUCUUAAAACUCUGUUCACUGCAUAGCCAAAGCCGACAAGGAUGUCGGCUUAGAUGCCGCAGCUCAUGGAUGAGCGUUUGGCAUCGAUGGCGGCAGAAGAAACAAUCUUUUUCAGAGUUUUUAGAAUAUCUUAACUUCGGACAAC
rfam:Firmicutes bacterium CAG:882 genomic scaffold, scf316